rnacentral:rRNA from 1 species
CUACGGGGGGCAGCAGUGGGGAAUAUUGGACAAUGGACCAAAAGUCUGAUCCAGCAAUUCUGUGUGCACGAUGACGGUUUUCGGAUUGUAAAGUGCUUUCAACAGGGAAGAAGUUCUGACGGUACCUGUAGAAGAAGCGACGGCUAAAUACGUGCCAGCAGCCGCGGUAAUACGUAUGUCGCAAGCGUUAUCCGGAUUUAUUGGGCAUAAAGGGCAUCUAGGCGGCUUAGUAAGUCUGAUGUGAAAAUGCGGGGCUCAACUCCGUAUUGCGUUGGAAACUACUAAGCUAGAGUAUUGGAGAGGUAGGCGGAACUACAUGUGCAGAGGUGAAAUUCGUAGAUAUAUGUAGGAAUGCCGAUGACGAAGGUAGCUUACUGGACAAUUACUGACGCUGAAGUGCGAAAGCUAGGGGAGCAAACAGGAUUAGAUACCCUAGUAGUC